ensembl:lncRNA
GCUACAAUACCACUCAGUUGUAGCAUCACAGCUUGUGUCCCUGCCAGGAGUGGGCACGGGCUACCCCUGUUGGCACCACUGUCUGUGCUGCCCUUGGGAACUGGAUCUUGCUGCCUUUGCUUGCUACCCUCGGAAGGAAUGCUCUGCUCUCUUUCCUUUGCGUCAUUAGCUUCUGAUUCAAAAACCUGAGCAGAUGCAUCUGCCAUGCCUGAAUUCCCUGGUGGCUCAGAGGUUAAAGCGUCUGCCUCCAAUGCAGGAGACCCAGAUUCGAUCCCUGGAUUGGGA